UUAUAGUUCAAAUGGUAGAACAUGAGACUCUUAAUCCCAGGGACGUGGGUUCGAGCCUCAGAUUGGGAGAA